rnacentral:rRNA from 1 species
AACGAACGCUGGCGGCAUGCCUAACACAUGCAAGUCGAACGAGACCUUCGGGUCUAGUGGCGCACGGGUGCGUAACGCGUGGGAAUCUGCCCUUGGGUUCGGAAUAACAGCGAGAAAUUGCUGCUAAUACCGGAUGAUGACGUAAGUCCAAAGAUUUAUCGCCCAAGGAUGAGCCCGCGUAGGAUUAGCUAGUUGGUGAGGUAAAGGCUCACCAAGGCGACGAUCCUUAGCUGGUCUGAGAGGAUGAUCAGCCACACUGGGACUGAGACACGGCCCAGACUCCUACGGAGGCAGCAGUGGGGAAUAUUGGACAAUGGGCGAAAGCCUGAUCCAGCAAUGCCGCGUGAGUGAUGAAGGCCUUAGGGUUGUAAAGCUCUUUACCCGGGUAUG